rnacentral:lncRNA from 1 species
AUAUUUCGAUGAUAUAUUUCUCUAUUUAUUUGCAAAACGCCAAAAAAAUACUAAAAAGGUUAUUGCUUACAAAACUCCAGAAAUAACAAAAAAUAUGUUUCCUGCUUAAUAUUUUAUUUUCUCCGUUAUUGUAUUUUGCCAUCUUGGUACGCAUAACGCCAUUUAAAAAAACGCCAAACUUAGAAGAUGGUUGUUAUGACGUUUUGAGCAAUCUACACACUUCGUCUCAUCCCGAUGUUUCCGCCAUCGGUUGGGGUGUGACAGAUGGGACGUCUAUCACCUAUAAACUGAUAAAGCUGAUCAAAAUAGUAAAUACAAAACAUUAACUGAAAAGACGGUUACUUUAUUACUAUCAUUUAUUACAAUAAAAAAAUCUCGCCUAAACUACGCGCCAAAAAACUCCUAUAAGAGAGGGGUCUAUACACUAUGAAUUGAUCACACCCAGAAAAACAAACGUCACAUCCUUUAGAAAACACUCACUUUAAAACGCCAAAAAAUGUUAGUUAAAAUAACCACAGAUG